UUUUUCCGCCGCCUGACCAAAAUGCCCCUCCUAUACAAUAGCCUCCCGCGUAUUUCUUGACAUACGUAUACUACCCUGCCGUACGUUCUGGCGCGCAUUAAAUGACCCGUUCAAUCUCAGUCAUUUCUCGGAACCCGGACAACAUCCGCCCCCGCUAUUCGCCGGCCCCGCUGUUUCCUGUUCUGCUUAAGACUUUACGAAAUUUUCGAACGCUAUUGACAAAUAGUGCGCGCUCCGCAACAGGGAUAAUAGUGCAAUGUGAAGUCUACGAAAUGAGAAAUGGUGCAACCGACCUCUAUAACAGUGCAUCCUAGCCUCGUUCCAGUGCAAACAAACCAUAAUCAGUCAAAAUUUUACUUUCUCCAUUUCUUAAUAUAAUCUGAACUUAAAAGUGCAAAUGAACGGCGUCCCCUCCAAAUGCAGGCGAAGCGUCGGCUGCGCAGGAGGGUCGCUGCCGGGUAGGACGGUCGGCGAUGUGCGACAAAAGAGUCGGCAGGCCAGGAAGCUCUGCGGCGGGGCUGGACGGUCGCCGGCGGGUUCGGAGUUCGAGAGGGCCGACAUAACGGCUAAACGAUUGUGUAAAGUUUUCCUAUAAAAGAUCACGCGUCCUUUUGCUUGUUAAAUAAGUUCACAGUUAAGCGCGAAUAAUAGUGCAAGGCAGUGUUAAUUACAGAAAAAUAUUUUUCAAAAGAGUGCAAAGAAGCUCGUAAGAGUGCAAUACGGGGAAAUAACAGUCUAAUCAAUUUUAUCUACGAGUGCAACGAAACCUGUAAGAGUGCAAUACGGUAGUAAUACAGUGCAACUCAGAUCAAAUGAGUUCAAGAUUCUCCGCUAAAGCGUGUAACAGUAUGAUAUGUAGCACAAAAUUUUCACAGAUUUGGUGUUAAUUUUUAAUUUAAUCUUAAGGUAAUAGUGCAAAUGAAAGGACAUGGUGACGUCGAAUAUAGCGGUGUGAAGUAGGAGGAGGCUCCACCGCCUCUUUAUUGCCGCCGCCGCCGCGGCGCUAUACCUCCGCGCGCCAGGGUUAAUAGUGCAAGGCGAAGGCUCUACAGCGGGAGAAACGGUGGAACAAACCUUCUAACAUGCAACCGUAGCGUCGUUCCAGUGCAAGGAGAAUGCUAGGAGGAGGAGGAGGGUCGAUCGGAGGUUAAGAUCCAGCAACGAGGCGAUCAGAAAAAACGAUCCAGCAACGAGGCGUUAAGGUUGAUUCGCACUAUCUGGAAUGUUUCAUUUGUUUUGGGCAAUUUGGAGCUCCGCUCUACCAUGAAAAAGACAGUACAGACAGAAAAAUAUAGAACUAAUUUCAUAAGGGUGUAACUAUGUCACAAUAAUAGUGCAACGUAGGGUAAAAAAGUGGAACUAAGUUCAUAAGGGUGCAACUAUGUCACAAUAAUAGUGCAAUGGAUUCAUGGAACAGCAAACACACGGUCUGGCGAAUAGCGUGGAUAUACGCUCCAGCAAACACACGCGCGCAUUUAAUGCUGGUAAAAGUACGUAGCGUAGCGUCUACGUUAUAGCGUCUCUUCUGUGAGGAUAGGAGACACCGGCGGUUAUAUCGAAGCUGCCUCGGGGAAAGUAAAAGCGACUAUUUCGAAUUUUACUCGUAAAGGCGUUGCACUGUUAUGACGAAUGUUACUCUAAUAUCUCCCCAGUAUUGCACUUUUUUUGCAUUUUGUUACUUAACGUUGCACUAUUAUUACAGCAAUUGUUGCACUAUUUUUAUACGAUUGAAUGAUUUAUUGAUAUUUUAAAGUGAUGUUACAGUAAUACGGCUCUUCAGGUGAGCAUUAGCCACUUUCUGUUCACGACGAAAACUAAUAUUUCGCGAGCAUUAAUAGUCGGUUACCUAAAUGGUUACGCAACGUAGGGUAAAGGAGUACCUCGACUCUAUUCCUCAAAUGCCUGUUCGUUUUCUAUAAAAGCACUCUCCAGGCACUUGGGCAACCGGCGACGAGGAAACAGCGAUGAUGGAGGUACACGAGACGAGAGGAGAGACCCGCAGGAGACGUCGACGAAGAAGAGGCUCGGUCGUAAGUGUAUCAUCCAGUAAGGAGGCGUUAAGAUUGAUUCGCACUAUCUGAAGUACUGUGCUUUAUUUGCGACGAGUGCCAAAACGUCAAUGCGAAAGUGCCUAGUGCAAAUAAAGCUCCGACAUACCCCUCCGAGCGAGCCCUCUCCUCUUCGCCAUUUCAUCUUCCGAUAGAGGAACCUCAGAGUAUGUUAUGUGCUCGUGGAUUUGCGGCAAGCUUUGAUGAUGAUUCAGUACUUUUGUAAAAUGAAGGCCUAAUUUUGUUCACUAAUAAUGUUGAUGCGAAAGUUACAGUUGAUGUUGUGAACAUCGUAUUGUAUGCAAAACGUGUAUUAUAUGUUGCGUUUUCGUCAAAGACAAUGUAUAAUUUGCUUGUAUAUUAAUAAAGAGAUCCCUUUCUUUA